GACGAACCGAGCGAACGUUGUUCGGAAUCACUGGGCUUAAAGGGCGCGUAGGCGGGCUGACAAGUCCGGGGUGAAAGCCCGCGGCUCAACCGCGGAACGGCCUCGGAUACUGUCGGCCUCGAGGGGGGUAGGGGCACCUGGAACUGUCGGUGGAGCGGUGAAAUGCGUUGAGAUCGACAGGAACUCCGGUGGCGAAGGCGAGGUGCUGGGCCCCUUCUGACGCUGAGGCGCGAAAGCCAGGGGAGCGAACGGG
rnacentral:rRNA from 1 species